rnacentral:rRNA from 1 species
GGAACCUGGUUGAUCCUGCCAGUAGUCAUACGCUCGUCUCAAAGAUUAAGCCAUGCAUGUCUAAGUAUAAACAAAUUUAUACUGUGAAACUGCGAAUGGCUCAUUAUAUCAGUUAUAGUUUAUUUGAUAAUAAAAUUUUUACUACUUGGAUAACCGUAGUAAUUCUAGAGCUAAUACAUGCAUAAAAGGCUUAA